CAUUAUCUGUCAAAUAACGGGUCAUUAUAUCGGAUCAAUAUUACCCCUUAUUUAGAAAAGCUCGAUUCCCUUCAAAAAGGGUAGUUUCAGAUGCGUUACAUUAAAAGCGUUGAAUUCGGCAUGAUGAGAGAGGUUGUGAAUCCCUGCAAAAUUCCGGACGAACCAGUCGAACACAAAAAGAAUUAAAGAAAAUAUGCACCGCGGCGGACUAACAUUGAAGGAUUCAUCUUAGGAUGGUUAGAAUUCCAAGCGAAAAACCGAUUAUUCCAAUCGACUAAAGAAAGAAAAAAUAAAAAAUUAAUUAAAGUUAUUUCAAAUCUAAAAAUAAAUGGCAUUUCAAUAAACAAAAUGAAACACCAUUUUGUUUUUAUUUAUCUUCCAGUAAACACAUUUUCU